UAAAUCUUAGUGCUCCUCACUCUUUGCGUCUACGCUGCUUUUAUGAACUGUUAACACUCACUGUGAAGGUCUGCAGCUUCACUCCUUAAGCCAGCGAGACCACAAACCCACUGGGAGGGAUAAACAACUCCAGACGGGAGGAACAAACAACUUCGGGUGCACCACCUUUAUGAACUGUAGCACUCACUGUGAAGGUCUGCAGCUUCACUCCUGAGGCCAGCAAGACCACGAACCCACCAGAAGGAACGAACAACUCCAGAUAUGCCACCUUUAAGGGCUAUAACACUCACCGCGGAAGUCUGCAGCUUCACUCCUGAAGUCAGUGAGACCAUGAACCCACCAGAAGGAAGAAACUCUGGACACAUCUGAACAUCUGAAGGAACAAACUCUGGACACACCAUCUUUAAGAACUGUAACACUCACCGCGAGGGUACACGGCUUCAUUCUUGAAGUCAGCGAGACUAAGAACCCAACAAUUCCGGACACAGCAUGAUCUUGGUUCACUACAACCUGGAUCUCCCAGAGUCAAGCAAUCCUCUCGUCUCAGUCUCCCAAGUAGCUGGAACUACAGGUAUUUCUGGUCUUUAAAGACACUUGGAAAAGACAGACUUGUUGAAUACUUAGAAAGGCCAAGCCACAGCCAGAAGCUUGGUGUCUGGGAUCCAUCAUCUCUAAGGUUUUAAAAGCAUCUUGCUGGAAUAGGAACAGCUCCGGUCUGCAGCUCUCAGCAAGACCAACACAGAAGAUGGGUGAUUUCUGCAUUUCCAGCUGAGGUACCUGGUUCAUCUCAUUGGGACUAGUUGGACAGUGGGUGCAGCCCAUGGAGGGCGAGCCAAAGCAGGGCAGGGCAUCGCCUCACCUGGGAAGUGCAAGGGGUCAGGGGAUUUCCCUUUCCUAGCCAAGGGAAGCCGUGACAGACUGUACCUGGAGGAACAGUACACUCCUGCCCAAAUACUGGGCUUUUCCCAUGGUCUUCACAACUGACAGAC
rnacentral:lncRNA from 10 species